rnacentral:pre_miRNA from 11 species
AACUCUGAGGAUAAGACCCUAUCAAUAUUGCCUCUGCUUCUGUGCUGGAUUCAAGUAGUGCAAUAUUGCUUAUAGGGUCUUUUCUUUGGGGAGGCGCUCUUCGUGG